AUCAUUUCAUGACUUUGACCUUAGAAUUAGAAGUACAAAACGCACAGCCGCAAGUCCAACUCAAAAUAUCUUCAAGUCUAGCUGAGCUGACCGAAAGCUGACCGGAGACCAUGAGCAAUAAACCGUUGAACACUCUCCGGCCAACCGAAACCCUAGAACUGGAAAGCGGACUCUCUCUAGUCCCACGUAUUAAGCUUCUCUUAACAGUCUACCGCGCCGACAAGUCUGUUUCUCCGAUCGACGAAUGGAAGUUCAAGCGAUCACUGAUCGAUUACAUAAAAUCCUCAUUCUCCAUCACUAUUUCCGAAGAAGACCUCGAAAUCCGGAAAUUCAAAGACCUCAACAAGCGCAAGCGUGAGGAACCGGUGGCUCGUGGCCGCCUUUUUGUUCAUGACUUAGGGUUUCUGUUGAAGGUGAUUGGUGAAACUGAGGAUGAUGUGGAGAGAGCUGAUAAGAAGUUUCUGGAAUGGAGGAGAGGGUUUGUGGAAAAGUUGGAUGGAAUUGAGUUGAGUUUGGAAGGUACUAAGUUUAAACUGGAUAUAGCUGUGCCGGUGUCUGAUGAUUUUGGAGGAAUGCGCAAGGAGUGGGAAGAGAUUAUUGCUUUUGGUGCUCGUGGAUAUCAGAGGAGUGGAAGGAUGCAGCCAGAUACAAUCGUGUUGAAAGGUAUGCCAUUGCGAUGGUUUGCAGAGACGAGGGUCUCAUCCAAGCCCUCAAUGCUGGUUACUCACACAAUAUUUUCUGCGCUUGGAAAGAUAAGGAAUCUUCAUGUUGCUGAGGAUAAUAGUAUAGGUGACGAUGCAGAUGAAGGAGACAUUGUUUCUGGUCUUCAUUGUAAGAUUGUAGUGCGGUUUGAGAAGCACAAUGACUUCUGUGACGCCUUGAAGGUUUUGUGUGGUCGCUCAUUGCAAAAGCAAGGAUCACGACUCAGAGCUGAUUAUGACGUGACUUGGGAUAAGGUUGGAUUCUUCCAAGAUGCUAGACAUCAAAUAGAAGAAAGAAAGAGAAUGCCAGCAAGAGGAGUGGAAGAAAGAGAUGAAGUUCAUAGACAUCACUCGAGAGUCUCUCAAUUUAGUUCUGAGGAAGGACGGCGAAAGAGAUUCAAGGAAUAGGGGCAGGACCUUUAUGUUUACCUUUGGAGAAUUCCCCUGAUCUAAGCAGAGACCCGAAGAUGAUAUGUAGUUUUUAAAGGGUCGAGACGUGAUAAAUUAUCUGAUUCUAUUAUGUGGCUCCAUUUUAACAGGAUCCUUGUGUGCUUUGGUUUAGCAAACUGAUAUUUUCACAUUGCAAAACUACGAUCAGUACAAGUACUGAAUUCUCUAAAGCAUGCUUAGUUCCUUAACGAAGCAAAAUAUGUCGUUAUUCUCUGAAUGAAAACGAAGUAUAUUUCAUAAUCUUUUAGUCAUUUUCACUUUAUUGGUA